rnacentral:rRNA from 1 species
GCUCCAAUAGCGUAUAUUAAAGUUGUUGCAGUUAAAAAGCUCGUAGUUGGAUUUCUGGGGGGGAGUUCUUCGAUCGCCGUCGGUGAUUAGAGGCUCCUCCAUCCUUCUGUUAACGUCUCUCGGCAUUCAUUUGCUGGUGGCGGGCUCAGAUAUUACCUUGAGAAAAUUAGAGUGUUUCAGGCAGCUAGGCCGGAAUACAU